rnacentral:rRNA from 1 species
UACGUAGGGUGCGAGCGUUGUCCGGAAUUAUUGGGCGUAAAGAGCUCGUAGGCGGUCCAUCGCGUCGGGAGUGAAAAGCUGGGGCUUAACCCCAGUCCUGCUUCCGAUACGGGUGGACUAGAGGUAGGUAGGGGAGAACGGAAUUCCUGGUGUAGCGGUGAAAUGCGCAGAUAUCAGGAGGAACACCGGUGGCGAAGGCGGUUCUCUGGGCCUUACCUGACGCUGAGGAGCGAAAGCGUGGGGAGCGAACAGG